rnacentral:misc_RNA from 1 species
GGAAUGUAGUUCAAUUCAACAUAUGAAACUUUAUUUAAUAAGCCCAAGAGAUCGGAAAUAUAUACAUGUGUUUGUUUAUUAGCUAUUAGUCAAAUUUAAGACAUAACAGAAUCCAUAAAGCAUGCAAGAUGAGAAUCUCUUGUAGCCUCCCAUUUGUUCGAUUGCACAUGAUGCAGUGCCCGGAAUCCCCCAGUUUCUGGCACUGGCAGUAAGGUGAUCAACAAUGGAAAUUUGCAUUAAUGAUUUUCUUGUCAGUAGGAUUUGAUGAUCAAUUGGAUUGAUUUUACCUAUUUUAUUUUCACCAUGAUCUUCAUAAUC